rnacentral:rRNA from 1 species
GGGUGAGACCUGAUGCCGAGCCGAUUGUGGUGAAGUGGAUGAUCCUAUGCUGUCGAGAAAAGCCUCUAGCGAGUUUCAUGGCGGCCCGUACCCUAAACCGACUCAGGUGGUCAGGUAGAGAAUACCGAGGCGUUCGGGUGAACUAUGGUUAAGGAACUCGGCAAAAUGCCCCCGUAACUUCGGGAGAAGGGGGGCCACGUCCGGUGAUGAGCUUCGCGCUCUGAGCUGGGGGUGGCCGCAGAGACCAGCGAGAAGCGACUGUUUACUAAAAACACAGGUCCGUGCGAAGCCGUAAGGCGAUGUAUACGGACUGACGCCUGCCCGGUGCUGGAACGUUAAGGGGACCGGUUAGUCACUCUUCGGGGUGGCGAAGCUGAGAACUUAAGCGCCAGUAAACGGCGGUGGUAACUAUAACCAUCCUAAGGUAGCGAAAUUCCUUGUCGGGUAAGUUCCGACCUGCACGAAUGGCGUAACGACUUCUCGACUGUCUCAACCAUAGGCCCGGUGAAAUUGCACUACGAGUAAAGAUGCUCGUUUCGCGCAGCAGGACGGAAAGACCCCGGGACCUUUACUACAGUUUGAUAUUGGUGUUCGGUUCGGCUUGUGUAGGAUAGGUGGGAGACUUUGAAGCUCAAGCGCCAGCUUGGGUGGAGUCGUCGUUGAAAUACCACUCUGGUCGUGCUGGAUGUCUAACCUGGGUCCGUGAUCCGGAUCAGGGACAGUGUCUGAUGGGUAGUUUAACUGGGGCGGUUGCCUCCUAAAGGGUAACGGAGGCGCCCAAAGGUUCCCUCAGCCUGGUUGGCAAUCAGGUGUUGAGUGUAAGUGCACAAGGGAGCUUGACUGUGAGACCGACGGGUCGAGCAGGGACGAAAGUCGGGACUAGUGAUCCGGCGGUGGCUUGUGGAAGCGCCGUCGCUCAACGGAUAAAAGGUACCCCGGGGAUAACAGGCUGAUCUUCCCCAAGAGUCCAUAUCGACGGGAUGGUUUGGCACCUCGAUGUCGGCUCGUCGCAUCCUGGGGCUGGAGUCGGUCCCAAGGGUUGGGCUGUUCGCCCAUUAAAGCGGUACGCGAGCUGGGUUUAGAACGUCGUGAGACAGUUCGGUCCCUAUCCGCUGUGCGCGUAGGAGUCUUGAGAAGGGCUGUCCCUAGUACGAGAGGACCGGGACGGACGAACCUCUGGUGUGCCAGUUGUCCUGCCAAGGGCAUGGCUGGUUGGCUACGUUCGGGAGGGAUAACCGCUGAAAGCAUCUAAGCGGGAAGCCUGCUUCGAGAUGAGGACUCCCACCCACUUGAUGGGGUAAGGCUCCCAGUAGACGACUGGGUUGAUAGGCCGGAUAUGGAAGCCAGGUAACUGGUGGAGUUGACCGGUACUAAUAGGCCGAGGGCUUGUCCUCAGUUG